rnacentral:rRNA from 1 species
GAUGAACGCUGGCGGCGUGCCUAAUACAUGCAAGUCGAGCGAACAGACGAGGAGCUUGCUCCUCUGACGUUAGCGGCGGACGGGUGAGUAACACGUGGAUAACCUCCCUAUAAGACUGGGAUAACUUCGGGAAACCGGAGCUAAUACCGGAUAAUAUAUUGAACCGCAUGGUUCAAUAGUAAAAGACGGUUUUGCUGUCACUUAUAGAUGGAUCCCCGCCGCAUUAGCUGGUAGGUAAGGUAACGGCUUACCAAGGCAACGAUGCGUAGCCGACCUGAGAGGGGGAUCGGCCACCCUGGAACUGAGACACGGUCCAGGCUCCUACGGGAGGCAGCAGUAGGGAAUCGUCCGCAAUGGGCGAAAGCCUGACGGAGCAACGCCGCGUGAGUGAUGAAGGUCUUCGGAUCGUAAAACUCUGUUAUUAGGGAAGAACAAAUGUGUAAGUAACUAUGCACGUCUUGACGGUACCUAAUCAGAAAGCAACGGCUAACUACGUG